rnacentral:lncRNA from 1 species
CAGAUGUUCCUAUAAGGAUAGGUGAGGAUUUUCUAAAUCCGAAAGAAAUAGUAUAUGAAAGUUACAGAACUCAACACCAAAGCAAGAACAAGAAAGCUGGGAUUUUAAUACACUGAGGCUGUGAUUCUCUAAGCAAGUAAUUUUUCAUGUUCGAUGUUGUUAUCGUUCUGGAGUAAAAGAGUAUUUGAUUGAUGAGAAACGCUUGGGAGUGUUGAUUUACAUGUCUGUUGCUUUUUGUGUAUGUCUUUGAGGUCUUGAGCCUUAUUUUAAUGGUGCAGCCCGUGGAUCAGCGCUAGCAACUCUCUUCAUGAGAUCUCCACCAUGCACUUUCAAUCCAAAAUCAACAUGCAUGUGGCUGCAAAGAGAAUCAUACUGAUCAAUUUCCCACCCAAAUUUUUAGUAAAGCAUGCAAGUUAAUGGCAUGAACUCUAAUUUGUAAAGACAUCAUAGAACUUAACAGAGGCUCCUCCUCAUUGGUAUCAUAGAACCUAACACCUGCAGGAGAUUAGGCAGAAUUCCCUUACUUAUUAGCACAUGAAACACAACGGUAAGAGUUCACAAGAGUCUAAUGGG